AGUGAACGCUGGCGGUAGGCCUAACACAUGCAAGUCGAACGGCAGCACAGUAAGAGCUUGCUCUUACGGGUGGCGAGUGGCGGACGGGUGAGGAAUACAUCGGAAUCUACUUUUUCGUGGGGGAUAACGUAGGGAAACUUACGCUAAUACCGCAUACGACCUACGGGUGAAAGCAGGGGAUCUUCGGACCUUGCGCGAUUGAAUGAGCCGAUGUCGGAUCAGCUAGUUGGCGGGGUAAAGGCCCACCAUGGCGACGAUCCGUAGCUGGUCUGAGAGGAUGAUCAGCCACACUGGAACUGAGACACGGUCCAGACUCCUACGGGAGGCAGCAGUGGGGAAUAUUGGACAAUGGGCGCAAGCCUGAUCCAGCCAUACCGCGUGGGUGAAGAAGGCCUUCGGGUUGUAAAGCCCUUUUGUUGGGAAAGAAAAGCAGCAGGUUAAUACCCCGCUGUUCUGACGGUACCCAAAGAAUAAGCACCGGCUAACUUCGUG
rnacentral:rRNA from 1 species